CCUACGGGGGGCUGCAGUGGGGAAUAUUGGACAAUGGGCGAAAGCCUGAUCCAGCCAUGCCGCGUGUGUGAAGAAGGCCUUCGGGUUGUAAAGCACUUUCAGUGGGGAAGAAAGCCUUGGGGCUAAUACCCUCGAGGAAGGACAUCACCCACAGAAGAAGCACCGGCUAACUCCGUGCCAGCAGCCGCGGUAAUACGGAGGGUGCGAGCGUUAAUCGGAAUUACUGGGCGUAAAGCGCGCGUAGGCGGUCUGAUAAGCCGGUUGUGAAAGCCCCGGGCUCAACCUGGGAACGGCAUCCGGAACUGUCAGGCUAGAGUGCAGGAGAGGAAGGUAGAAUUCCAGGUGUAGCGGUGAAAUGCGUAGAGAUCGGGAGGAAUACCAGUGGCGAAGGCGGCCUUCUGGACUGACACUGACGCUGAGGUGCGAAAGCGUGGGUAGCAAACAGGAUUAGAUACCCUUGUAGUC
rnacentral:rRNA from 1 species